rnacentral:rRNA from 1 species
GUGGGGAAUUUUGGACAAUGGGCGAAAGCCUGAUCCAGCAAUGCCGCGUGCAGGAUGAAGGUCCUCGGGUUGUAAACUGCUUUUGUACGGAACGAAAAGCCUGGGGCUAAUAUCCCCGGGUCAUGACGGUACCGUAAGAAUAAGCACCGGCUAACUACGUGCCAGCAGCCGCGGUAAUACGUAGGGUGCAAGCGUUAAUCGGAAUUACUGGGCGUAAAGCGUGCGCAGGCGGUUUUGUAAGACAGUGGUGAAAUCCCCGGGCUCAACCUGGGAACUGCCAUUGUGACUGCAUAGCUGGAGUGCGGCAGAGGGGGAUGGAAUUCCGCGUGUAGCAGUGAAAUGCGUAGAUAUGCGGAGGAACACCGAUGGCGAAGGCAAUCCCCUGGGCCUGCACUGACGCUCAUGCACGAAAGCGUGGGGAGCAAACAGGAUUAGAUACCCUAGUAGUCC